GCCUGUAUGGCUCAGUGGUUGAGCAUCGACCUAUGAACCAGGAGAUCAGGGUUCAAUUCCCGGUCAGGGCA
rnacentral:tRNA from 1 species